rnacentral:rRNA from 1 species
UCUGUAAGCCUGUGAAGGUGUGCUGUGAGGUAUGCUGGAGGUAUCAGAAGUGCGAAUGCUGACAUAAGUAACGAUAAAGCGGGUGAAAAGCCCGCUCGCCGGAAGACCAAGGGUUCCUGUCCAACGUUAAUCGGGGCAGGGUGAGUCGACCCCUAAGGCGAGGCCGAAAGGCGUAGUCGAUGGGAAACAGGUUAAUAUUCCUGUACUUGGUGUUACUGCGAAGGGGGGACGGAGAAGGCUAUGUUGGCCGGGCGACGGUUGUCCCGGUUUAAGCGUGUAGGCUGGUUUUCCAGGCAAAUCCGGAAAAUCAAGGCCGAGGCGUGAUGACGAGGCACUACGGUGCUGAAGCAACAAAUGCCCUGCUUCCAGGAAAAGCCUCUAAGCAUCAGGUAACAUCAAAUCGUACCCCAAACCGACACAGGUGGUCAGGUAGAGAAUACCAAGGCGCUUGAGAGAACUCGGGUGAAGGAACUAGGCAAAAUGGUGCCGUAACUUCGGGAGAAGGCACGCUGAUACGUAGGUGAAGCGACUUGCUCGUGGAGCUGAAAUCAGUCGAAGAUACCAGCUGGCUGCAACUGUUUAUUAAAAACACAGCACUGUGCAAACACGAAAGUGGACGUAUACGGUGUGACGCCUGCCCGGUGCCGGAAGGUUAAUUGAUGGGGUUAGCGCAAGCGAAGCUCUUGAUCGAAGCCCCGGUAAACGGCGGCCGUAACUAUAACGGUCCUAAGGUAGCGAAAUUCCUUGUCGGGUAAGUUCCGACCUGCACGAAUGGCGUAAUGAUGGCCAGGCUGUCUCCACCCGAGACUCAGUGAAAUUGAACUCGCUGUGAAGAUGCAGUGUACCCGCGGCAAGACGGAAAGACCCCGUGAACCUUUACUAUAGCUUGACACUGAACAUUGAGCCUUGAUGUGUAGGAUAGGUGGGAGGCUUUGAAGUGUGGACGCCAGUCUGCAUGGAGCCGACCUUGAAAUACCACCCUUUAAUGUUUGAUGUUCUAACGUGGACCCGUGAUCCGGGUUGCGGACAGUGUCUGGUGGGUAGUUUGACUGGGGCGGUCUCCUCCUAAAGAGUAACGGAGGAGCACGAAGGUUGGCUAAUCCUGGUCGGACAUCAGGAGGUUAGUGCAAUGGCAUAAGCCAGCUUGACUGCGAGCGUGACGGCGCGAGCAGGUGCGAAAGCAGGUCAUAGUGAUCCGGUGGUUCUGAAUGGAAGGGCCAUCGCUCAACGGAUAAAAGGUACUCCGGGGAUAACAGGCUGAUACCGCCCAAGAGUUCAUAUCGACGGCGGUGUUUGGCACCUCGAUGUCGGCUCAUCACAUCCUGGGGCUGAAGUAGGUCCCAAGGGUAUGGCUGUUCGCCAUUUAAAGUGGUACGCGAGCUGGGUUUAGAACGUCGUGAGACAGUUCGGUCCCUAUCUGCCGUGGGCGCUGGAGAACUGAGGGGGGCUGCUCCUAGUACGAGAGGACCGGAGUGGACGCAUCACUGGUGUUCGGGUUGUCAUGCCAAUGGCACUGCCCGGUAGCUAAAUGCGGAAGAGAUAAGUGCUGAAAGCAUCUAAGCACGAAACUUGCCCCGAGAUGAGUUCUCCCUGACCCUUUAAGGGUCCUGAAGGAACGUUGAAGACGACGACGUUGAUAGGCCGGGUGUGUAAGCGCAGCGAUGCGUUGAGCUAACCGGUACUAAUGAACCGUGAGGCUUAACCUUACAACGCCGAAG